CGACGAUUCGACGGUGGUGUGCAGUAGUCCUCGUCGUCAUCGCAGGAGAGGUCUAUGACCUCUCUUUCACGUAGAAUGCGACGUUGUCGAUGACGCGCGUAGUCCGUCGCUGUUAGUCGAGCAUCCACGAGUCUCUAGUUUUGGCCUAAAAGAAUAGCCGAUCAGAUAGCGCUGGAGUUGAAGACAGUGAAGAGAAGAAAAAUUGGAAUGUUGGAGAGUUAGGGUUUAUAUAAGCGAAUGGACUUGAUUUUGUGGAUAAAGAAUUGCAGUCUCGGGCGGCAUUUCAUAUGACCUUUAACUUACAACUAACUCAAUUAAUCAAACAUAAAUACUGUGUUAUUGGGCCUACGUCCUCCAACAUCUUGCGUUCAACUGCAACCUAUUCAGAUAAGUAGACAUUAAAUCUUAUUCAGAUCAUGGACAAAUCUCGGAUCAACGACAUUAAUAAAAAUAAAUCUACUCACCUUUUUUCUUUGAAUACUUCCUUCCUGUCUUAGUAAGAAUAUACUCUAGUCAUGCUUGGAUCAUCUCUUCGAAAGUUUUAUUAGUCUGUUCUCCGUCGUUGUGUUAUGGCAAACAACUGGGAAUCCAAUAAGUCUGUGAACCCUAAUACUAACUCGCAAAUAGAAAAUAAGAUAACGUGUUACCCUAAAAGCGUAACCCUAUAAUCCGAAAAACAGCAAAACCUAUGGUUGGAACAAAUCAUGACCCGAAUUUACCUCUUGGCUAGCGCAUAUCUCCCCCAUGGAAGAAGCAAUAAACUGUAAUCUCUAAUUCGUAAAUGUUCUAACUAAAUAGGAAGAUGGAUUGACAGAAAUAUAUUUAAAUUCAAAUAAGAAGAGUAGAAAGUACCAAGUGGAAAACCAACCUAAGUGAUUGAAUAUAUUUAAAGUUCCAAGAUCUUCUGUAGUAGACUUUUUCAGGGACCAGAGGAAUGUGACUGAGUAAAACAGAUCUCGGUUCUUUUGGCGUCAAACGGACGACGUCCUCGAAUCUGUCAUAUGAAAUCGUUCUGUAUACUGCGGAGGGUAGGAGAGGUAGUCAAUCAGUUAUAAUAUGCAGUAGAAGACCAUAAGCCAAUCUUAUAGACCUAAAAACUCUUCCAGGUUACAGUGGUUUUGGGCAAAUUUACAGCCCCACUGGGAAGAAGCUUAUGGCCCUAAUUUGUACAGCCCAACUGGGAAGAAGCUUAUGGCCCUAAUUUGUACAGCCUAACUGGGAAGAAGCUUAUGACCCUAAUUUGUACAGCCCGACUGGGAAGAAUCUUAUGUGAACCCUAAUUACCCUAACCCGGGAGUAACCUAAUUGGUACAUUGAUUGAAUCGAAGUUAAUAUAGGCAAAGUCAAGCGAAGUUAAUUGAACAAAUGAACCAAUCGGAAACCAAAAACACGAUGAACAUACCUGUUGGAACCCAACCCAAUUGGAAUUCAAUGGGAAACCAAAAACACGAACAAAUGAAGAAACCCAUCGGAACAAAUGAAGAAACCUAUCGAUAGCCAAUCGGAACUCAAAAACUCGAUGAACAAACUUAUCGGAACCCAAACCAAUCGGAACCCAACCUAACAGGAUGAACAAACCUAUUGGAACCCAACCCAACACAUUCUAUGAACAAACUUAUCCUAACCCAAAUCCCGACGACGUCGACGAGACGAAAGAAGAACAAGGAAAUACGACGGCACACCCUAUACCAAAAACACGAUUGACAGACAAUCCAAUCGAGAAUCCAAAAACACGAUGAACAUAACUAAUCCGAACACAAUCGAGAACCCAAAACCACGGUGAACGACCCUAUUGAAACACGACACAGUCGGAACCCAAUCAAGAACCAAAAAACACGAUGAACAAUCUGUCGGAACGCACCUUGUCAGAAGCCAAUCGGAACCCAAAAAAAUCUAUAAACAAACCUAUCCGAACCCAAAACCCGCCGACGUCGAUGAAAAGAAUAUUUAUGAAAAGCAUAUGAAUAGCCUCUAUACCUAUAUACGACGGCACACCCUAUACCAAAAAUACGAUUGACAGGCAAUCCAAUCGAGAACCCAAAAAUACGAUGAACAUAACUAAUCCGAACACAAUCGAGAACCCAAAACCACGAUGAACGACCCUAUUGAAACACGACACAGUCGGAACCCAAUCAAGAACCAAAAAACACGAUGAACAAUCUAUCGGAACGCACCUUGUCGGAAGCUAAUUGGAACCCAAAAAAAUCUAUGAACAAACCUAUUCGAACCCAAAACCCGCCGAUGUCAUUCAGAAAAUAUUUAUGAAUAGCCUCUAUACUUAUGAAUAGUCUCUAUAGCUGUAACCUAUAGACUCUAUAUAGCUAUAACCUAUGAAUUAUACAAAACGUAUAGUAUUUUACACCACUAAUGACGCUACUUAAUUAAAAGUGAGAAAAUUAUCAUCUCAAGCGAAGUUCUCACGGUCCUCUCACCUGAUAUGAAUUGUUCAAAUAUAAGGGAAAAUUGUAAAAACGGUGUAUGUUGUAAAUG
rnacentral:lncRNA from 1 species